rnacentral:rRNA from 1 species
UAAAACCAGCACCUCAAGUGGUCAGGAUGAUUAUUGGGCCUAAAGCAUCCGUAGCCGGUUCUGUAAGUUUUCGGUUAAAUCUGUACGCUCAACGUACAGGCUGCCGGGAAUACUGCAGAACUAGGGAGUGGGAGAGGUAGACGGUACUCGGGAGGAAGGGGUAAAAUCCUUUGAUCUUUCGAUGACCACCUGUGGCGAAGGCGGUCUACCAGAACACGUCCGACGGUGAGGGAUGAAAGCUGGGGGAGCAAACCGGAUUAGAUACCCGGGUAGUCCCAGCUGUAAACUAUGCAAACUCAGUGAUGCAUUGACUUGUGGUCAAUGCAGUGCUGCAGGGAAGCCGUUAAGUUUGCCGCCUGGGAAGUACGUACGCAAGUAUG